UUUCCGUAGGUGAACCUGCGGAAGGAUCAUUCAUAAUAAAGUGUUUUAUGGCACUUUUUAUAAAUCCAUAUCCACCUUGUGUGCAAUGUUAGAUCUCGUCAAUCUUGGCGAGAUUUUUAUACAUCAACUCAUUCUUUAACUAAUUUGUCUGAAAAAUAUUAUGAAUACUUAAUUCAAAAUACAACUUUCGACAACGGAUCUCUUGGCUCUC
rnacentral:misc_RNA from 1 species